UUCAUUUCCCCCACCUAUUGCCUCUGCUUCAAACUUCAACCAAAGAGGCUGAAAGCAAAUAAUCCUCUAUCCCAAAUCAACAAUCCCCUAAUCAAAAACCCUACGUUGAAACCGCUAUAAAUCCUUAAAAACGAAAUCCAAUGGGGGAAACGAGAAAACGAGGCCGCAAACCGAAAACCCCUGCAUCAACCACCGAGGCUAUGGACUUCCAAUACACCGCCGCCGCCGCUGCCCAAAACGACGCUGUUACAGCCCAAAACGACGUCUUUAUCGCUGCAAACGACGCCGUAUCGACCGCCACCGCCAACAAUGAUGCGAACAACCCACCACCAGCGCGACGGGGCCGAGGACGACCGAGGAAGUCGGGAGCGGGGCACACUGAGGAUACGGAGCCGCACGUGGCAGCGUCUCCGGAGCGGAGACCUUAUCAAAACGGGGGGGUGGUGGUGGAGCCACCUCCACAGCCAGUGGCGAAGUGGGAGAGCAUUGCGGCGAGGGUGGUGCCAGCGAUGGAUGCGGUGGUGAAGGUGUUUUGCGUUCACACGGAGCCGAAUUAUUCGCUGCCGUGGCAAAGGAAAAGGCAGUAUUCUUCAAGUAGUAGUGGGUUUAUAAUUGGAGGGAAAAGAGUGUUAACAAAUGCUCAUUCAGUGGAACAUUAUACUCAAGUGAAGUUGAAGAAAAGGGGUUCUGAUACUAAGUACUUGGCUACUGUUUUGGCUAUUGGGACUGAAUGUGAUAUUGCAAUGUUAACUGUUAGCGAUGAUGAGUUUUGGGAAGGUGUUUCACCUGUUGAGUUUGGAGAUUUGCCUGCACUACAAGAUGCUGUAACUGUUGUGGGCUACCCGAUUGGAGGUGACACAAUCUCUGUUACGAGUGGUGUUGUUUCACGCAUUGAGAUACUCUCUUAUGUUCAUGGGUCAACUGAGCUCUUGGGACUACAGAUAGAUGCAGCUAUAAACUCUGGAAAUUCUGGCGGGCCUGCCUUCAAUGAUAAGGGCAAAUGUGUUGGUAUUGCAUUUCAAUCUUUGAAACAUGAAGAUGUGGAAAAUAUUGGGUAUGUCAUACCUACACCAGUCAUAAUGCACUUCAUUCAGGAUUAUGAAAAGAAUGGAGCAUAUACAGGCUUCCCAAUCCUUGGUGUUGAGUGGCAAAAGAUGGAAAAUCCUGAUUUGCGCUUGGCAAUGGGGAUGAAACCUGAUCAGAAGGGGGUACGUAUUAGGAGAAUUGAGCCCACAGCUGCAGAAUCUCAUCUUCUGAAGCCAUCUGAUAUUAUACUUAGUUUUGAUGGGGUAAAAGUUGCUAAUGACGGAACAGUUCCAUUCAGGCAUGGGGAGCGCAUAGGUUUCAGCUAUCUUGUUUCUCAGAAGUAUACUGGGGAUACUGCAUUGGUUAAAGUUCUGCGUGAUUCAGAGAUAGUUGCACAUGACAUAAAACUUGCGACGCACAAGAGGCUCAUCCCAGCACACACCAAUGGGAAACCUCCUUCUUAUUACAUUAUUGCUGGAUUUGUUUUUACAGCUGUAACUGUUCCAUACUUGCGAUCUGAGUAUGGGAAGGAUUAUGAAUUUGAUGCACCAGUCAAACUAUUGGAUAAGCAUCUACAUGCAAUGGCAGAGUCUACGGAUGAACAGCUUGUUGUUGUUUCACAGGUGCUUGUGGCUGACAUAAAUAUUGGAUAUGAAGAAAUCGUCAAUACUCAGGUUCUUGCUUUCAAUGGCAAACUUGUGAAGAAUCUAAGGAGCUUAGCUCAUAUGGUUGAGAACUGCAAUGAUGAAUAUUUAAGAUUUGAACUGGAAUAUCAACAGAUAGUAGUGCUACAAACCAAGGCUGCAAAGGCUGCAACUUUAGAUAUUCUAACCACACAUUGUAUAUCUUCUGCAAUGUCUGAUGAUCUCAAGACUUGAUAGAAGUUUGAGGGGAAACACAAAUGAUAAUUCAUGUGAUUCUCCUUUUGCAUGUCUCCUCAGGAACAUGAUACAACCUAGUGGAGUGAUAUUUGCCUAUACAAGCGGCCGUUGAGGGGUACCGCAUAGUGUUAAGUUUUGCCUCUUCAUUUGCGGGUGUAGUUGUAGCUGGGUUGCACUUCUUAGUAUUAGUUUAUAUUGGAAGGAAACAGAGAGGAUAUGAAGGCAGAUGGAUUUGACAUGGACCGAAGCCUGAAAUGGGGGAGGCCGAGGUCUAAAGCAGACUUUGUAACCUCUUUGCAGUUAAGAAAUGAUCCAUCUCCUGUACUCUUAACUGCAGAUGUUCUUUUUCCGUUUGCAGAUAGUAGUUAAGCAAUGUGUUUUUUGACA